CGUUGGCCCCUAAUCGGGGUUGCGGACAGUGUCUGGUGGGUAGUUUGACUGGGGCGGUCUCCUCCUAAAGAGUAACGGAGGAGCACGAAGGUUGGCUAAUCCUGGUCGGACAUCAGGAGGUUAGUGCAAUGGCAUAAGCCAGCUUGACUGCGAGCGUGACGGCGCGAGCAGGUGCGAAAGCAGGUCAUAGUGAUCCGGUGGUUCUGAAUGGAAGGGCCAUCGCUCAACGGAUAAAAGGUACUCCGGGGAUAACAGGCUGAUACCGCCCAAGAGUUCAUAUCGACGGCGGUGUUUGGCACCUCGAUGUCGGCUCAUCACAUCCUGGGGCUGAAGUAGGUCCCAAGGGUAUGGCUGUUCGCCAUUUAAAGUGGUACGCGAGCUGGGUUUAGAACGUCGUGAGACAGUUCGGUCCCUAUCUGCCGUGGGCGCUGGAGAACUGAGGGGGGCUGCUCCUAGUACGAGAGGACCGGAGUGGACGCAUCACUGGUGUUCGGGUUGUCAUGCCAAUGGCACUGCCCGGUAGCUAAAUGCGGAAGAGAUAAGUGCUGAAAGCAUCUAAGCACGAAACUUGCCCCGAGAUGAGUUCUCCCUGACUCCCUGAGAGUCCU
rnacentral:rRNA from 1 species